CCUGGAUGCAGCCACGCAACCAGUGCGCUCCGGUGGCCGGCGCUGACUUAUAGUCUCUUCGGCAACGGAGGAGGCGGCAGCUCUGGACUCAGGAGGAUGAUGUGCUCGUAUGGCAAUGGUGGACAGGGAUUCUGGAAUCAAGCCUUGAGCUGGGAAAGAUCUGAUAUUUUGUUUUUCGGUAUCACUGGCGUCGUGAUGUAUGUGGUUCAAAGGAAAGUAAGAGCCUUGCAAGAAGAAAAAUGGCAACGUCAGAUAAAGGAUAUUGAGGUGCGGUCAUACAUGAUGGAUAAGGAGAAGGAAGAAACAAUCAAUAUCCCUUUUCAUUGACUCCCUUUUGUCGAAAGCUCAUCGACUCCUCGUCUUGAUGUUAGCAUUAAAGCUUGGUAGUUUGUAGUUGGAUGCCGCAAGGGGAUGACUACCUCUGCAGCGGCGGAUCGAAGGAGAUGGCUCAUCAUCUGGUAGUAAGAUGUUAGGUUUUGUUGAUUGUACGGGCUACAUCCUGUUGUGUGACUGUUGUAUCCUCCUGUGCUUUCAGCUGAGUUGAGUUGUAAU